GCAUCAAAGGAAAUUGGAACUGUGAAGAAGAGAAUUGUAAGAGUGUUUGCUCUAUUCAUGGCAAUGGACACAUUGUAACAUUUGAUGGAUUGCCGUAUAGUUUUGAUGGACUGUGUCAAUAUACAUUGGUAGAAGGAGAAGAUGGCCUAUUUAGAAUAUCAGUACAAAGUGAGCCUUGCUGUGAUGGGGGCCUAACCUGCUCUAGAAAAGUUAUUAUUCAAACUUCUAAAAUUACAAUUAUCCUUCAAGAUGGGAAAGC